GGGAAAAGAGCAAGCAAGUACCAAGAUUGCACUGUUUGUUACCAGUAUACAGAGAAUGUUACCAAAAGCUCGAGUGUUGUACUGCAGUGCCACAGGAUUGACAGAUGUAAAGAACAUGGCAUUUAUGGAAAGACUUGGACUCUGGGGUGAAGGAGCUCCGUACAAGAAUUUUGAGCAGUUUCUUGACUCUGUACAGAAGAAAGGUUUAGGUAUGGCUGAGAUGUUGGCAAUGGAGAUGAAAUGAGCUGGAAUGCACGUGUCGAGAGGUCUGAGUUACAAGCAAGCUGAGUUUCUCACAAUAGAAGCUACAUUGACGAAGGAGCAGGUGAAGAUGUAUGACACA